rnacentral:rRNA from 1 species
UACGUAGGGGGCAAGCGUUAUCCGGAAUUACUGGGUGUAAAGGGUGAGUAGGCGGCAUGGUAAGCCAGAUGUGAAAGCCUUGGGCUUAACCCGAGGAUUGCAUUUGGAACUAUCAAGCUAGAGUACAGGAGAGGAAAGCGGAAUUCCUAGUGUAGCGGUGAAAUGCGUAGAUAUCAGGAAGAACACCAGUGGCGAAGGCGGCUUUCUGGACUGAAACUGACGCUGAGGCACGAAAGCGUGGGGAGCGAACAGG